rnacentral:RNase_P_RNA from 1 species
GUCGCUGCUUCUAACGAAGGAGAGGAAAGUCCGGACAGCAUAGAGCACCAUACUUUCUAACAGAAAGGCAUUGGCAACAAUGACAGACAGGGCCACAGAAAAUAACCGCCGAAAGGUAAGGGUGAAAAUGUGAGGUAAGAGCUCACAACACAUUUCGGUGACGAAAUGCGGGGGUAAACCUUAUGGGCUGAAAGACCAUGUAAACCGAGGCUUGAGGACUGCUCGUUCAAUCUCGGAGGGUAGGUCGAUAGAGACAUUUAGUGAUAAAUGUAGUAGAUAAAUGACAGAAGCUUUGCCCUGCAAAGCACAGAAUCCGGCUUAUAGCGUUGCUG